GAAAUAUUGUCUAAUAAAUGAAAUAACUGCAUGUUGGGCAAGGCAGUACACAGAAAAAUGCAUUUAAAAAUCCCAACCUGUUUUUCAGGAGAAUGGAAAGUAGUGUACACUUUCAACGUGACAACAAAUUCCUACUCCAAUAUUGAUCAGAGUUUCCUCAUCAGCCACGUGCCACCUCAGACCUCAUCUGUAGAAACUGGGACAGUUUGCACUGUGUCUCCUCUAGGCAAUCCUGCUGAGAUACCAUGGCCAGACAGAGCCACAUGACUCUGGGUCUUGCAGAGGAGUCAGAACUCUGGUAAAGAGGUGCUUGCUGAAGUACUGGGUGAGGCUGGAAGGGAAGGAGGGUGGUAGGUUAUCUGACUCAUCUCUUUGUCUUCUGUUUCUCCAGCAAAUUGCAAAUGCCUUGAAGUAGGAACAAUUUCUUAUUCAUCUUUGUAGUUUUAGUGCUUAUCUGUAUCUGGAAAAUAGUAGACAGUUGUCUUAAUGUAAGAUCUUUCAGAUAGAAGCUUUGAGACAAAGACUUGAGAAAAUAGGUUUGAAGGAACAGGAAACAUGGGUACAAAAGUGGAAAAGUGAAAAGAGCAGGGAAGCAGCACAAAAGAAGGGUAUAUUAUCAGGAAAAUUUGGCCAUGUGUGGGCUGGGUUGUCAGAGAUUAAUCCUACACGAAAACUCAUAAUCACAGGAACCUCAGAGCUGUCCUAUCUGCGGUCCAAGGGAAAUGAAAUAUUUAUGUUCCAGCUUUUGAGAUUGGUGAAGGUUGCUUCUUAGAAAUGAUAAGCCCCAGAAUUCACACCUGCUCUGCUAGGAAAAAAACCAUUUCUGGGUUUACAAGAAAGUCCUCAGAUAAAGAGAGGCAGGCAUUUGCAGGUGGCAGUAGAGCCAACACACACUGAUGGGGAUAAGGCCCCAGGAACUCAAUGAUAGCAUCUGCUAUGGUGGCUAAAGAAAUAUUCUUGAAACUCAAUCAACAGCUGAAAAGGAACGUCUGUCUUCAAAAUAUGAAAUUAAUUGUGUAAACAUAUUCAGAAAGUUCCAUCAGGCCCUUGUUCAAGUGACUGCUAACCAAAAUAACUGACAACCAAUUAUUGCAGACUCAAUUUUCUGUCUCCUGGGAGAUGAGACUUCUGGAUAAACUCCAUAUUUAUGAUGACAUAAAAAAAACAAAACAAAACAAAACAAAAAACAAGAGAGAGAAGUUCACUACAAAGAGACUACCACUAAACACAGGCAGGGUUUAGGGGAAGGAUGGACUAUGAGCAACGGAAAGGGAGGGACUAGAAGAUGAAAGGACAAAGAAAAUAGGCACUCUGCCUAUUAAAGACAGGGAUCCCCUUUGCACUAGACAAGGGCCAAGGGGGCAUGUUGGCCAGGAUGCAGGGGAUGGUGGGUGUUUUGGACAGCCACCCUUGAGGGUCAAGGGAUUCUAAAAAGCUUUAAAUGGAAGUAAUUUCUGCAAUUUUGUUCUAGUUUUUUUUUACUGGGGGAGUUGGAUGAUUGCAGCAGGUGUAAGUAAG
rnacentral:lncRNA from 1 species